CUAAGUCAAAGAAAAAGGAGUCGACAAAAUACUCCCCUUCUCUCUCUCUCGGUACUUCCGACUCCCUUACUCUCCUUCACAAAAAUUCCCCCAAUUUCCAUAGAUCCUCAACUUCCGUCGUCCUACCUCCGUCGCCGCCGCUCCGACGUCGUCCUUAACGUCCAGCCAAGCUGCCUUCGCCGUCAGGCGCCGGGAGACGCUGCUGCUGGAUCGCAAGACUCUCCGUCGCGUGGCGCCUCAGCAGCCACGCCGUCGCUGCUGUUCGCCGCUGUCCCGUCUGCACAGAGCCGUCGGCUGCUGUUCGCCGCUGCUCCAUCGGUGGCCGUGCAGCCCCGAAACAUCACCGCAGCCCCCGAUUCGUCCCGGAACCAACCCGAACAACCCCGAAGCAGCCCGGUUUACAUUCGAAAGAUAAGUUCUCUUUCAAUUAUGUUUCUUUUCAUUUUUAGCUUUCGAUUACACUGUGAUGGGCGUUCGAUUGUUGGAGUUUGAUUGUUGAUGGAAAUUAUGAGUGGGAGUGAUGUAUGAUGAACAUGAUAUGAAUAACACCGAUAAAAAGGAAAGGGACUUACACCUUCGUUGCUAUGAAUUUGAUUGUGAACUUGGUAGAGCCGAAAGGAAUGGCUCCUUGAACUUGGCAGGUUUGAAUCUGUCAACAAUUAUUGCUAAAGUUGAUUUCGAACAGUAGGAAGAAGUCUCCAAAUGAAUUGAUGAAAUGGAUUACCUAGUUUGGAAUUGAAAUGAGAACGAGGCAGCUCUUCUAACUUUUGGUUUCUGCUAUGAAUUUCAUAGAAUCAUUUCAUCAGUUCUAGGUUGUGACGAAUUGGAAUUCAAAGGAAAGUUUGAAAGGAGGUGAUAGAACCUGGAAAUCAAAAGCUCUUCUACUCUCCUUCUCUCUCGGCUCUCUCUCUCUCUCACUUUGUUUUUGCUUGGAUUGCAGGUUGUAACCGUGUUUAUGAGGGAGUGAAAUCAGAAGAAUUAGUUGAGAUUAAAUCCCAUUUAAUCAGGUAAUUAAAAGGUAACGGCUCAAGGAGUGGAGUAGAAGCUGAAGCAUUACUCUGCAGAAAUCUCACGCUGGAAUGGGAGCAGAUUUAUGUCAAUCUGUAGGAACAACCGUGUAGUAUGGAAGAGGGAAGGAUAGGGCUCAAAAUCUAUCUCCCAUAUUUUAUUUAUUUGUUGAAGUUCAUAGGCCCAAAAUGAUUUAUUUUGUUGUAAAAUAAAUCAAGCCCAAACUUAUUUAUUUGCCAUAGAACUCUUCUAUUUUCCAUGGCCCAAAGCCAUCGUGAACCAACGUUUGAACUCUAAUUCUUCAUUUGAGAAGUCCAAGUGUAUUAUUAUUA